GGAGAGGUGUCCGAGUCUGGUCGAAGGAGCACGAUUGGAAAUCGUGUAGGCGCCACAAGCGUCUCAAGGGUUCGAAUCCCUUUCUCUCCGCCA
rnacentral:tRNA from 1 species